UUUUUGUAAAAAUUAAGAAAUAUUCACCAAAAAAAAAAAAAAAAAGUCAGGAGACUAUGAAGCCACUCAUUUUACUUCUAGAAGUUUUUCUUACAUAAAAUCAAUCAAGGAGAGAGAAUUGUGUAUUAAUUUAAUUGUUUGGCCUUUAGAAUCAUGUUCCUUACAGGGCAUCGGUGCGAGGGCUUCACCAUUCUGCACAUCCACCUGAGUUUUAAAACACGGUUUCUACUAUACAUCUGGCAUCUUGUAUACAGGGGAUGAAUGUGGUCAUGUUUCCUUCUUUAGCUGCUGGAAACCUUAGAGCAAAAAAUAAGGCCACUUUUGUAACUGUGUCUGACUCAGCAGCAUAACUUUUCCGUUGUCUUCCAUGUGCUAUCCUGUUUUAUUUUUCCUUUCCCUUGAUUGCUCUCUAUACAUACAUUUUUGAGAAGUUGUUUUUCUUUAUUUUUCAAACUAAUUCAUUCAAUACUCUCCUCCAGGUAGAGUUUAUAAUUGUUUGUAGUUGAGAAAAUUGGACUAGAAUGAAGCCUUGUGGAAUCCAAGGAGAAUUCGUUAUUCUUUAGCUGCUUUCAUCUCCAAUUGUGUUAGGCAUCCUCCUAAGAUGGUCCCCAAGAUGGCAGACCCCUGGAAUCAUCUGUAGAAUUUCCUCUCUUUUCACAGGCUUUUAUGAGUUGAUUUUUCAGCGAACCUUCAAGGGGCUAAGGGGAACAUUACCUUUGGCCACUAUACUGCCAACAACCUAUGAGCCUGGAAGAGGAUCCCAAGUCUCAGAUGAAACCAGGACCUCAGCCAACACCUUGAUUUCAGCCUCAUGAGAUC
rnacentral:lncRNA from 1 species